UACGUAGGUGGCAAGCGUUGCCCGGAUUUAUUGGGCGUAAAGCGAGCGCAGGUGGUUUCUUAAGUCUGAUGUGAAAGCCCACGGCUCAACCGUGGAAGGUCAUUGGAAACUGGGGAACUUGAAUGCAGAAGAGGAGAGUGGAAUUCCAUGUGUAGCGGUGAAAUGCGUAGAUAUAUGGAGGAACACCAGUGGCGAAGGCGACUCUCUGGUCUGUUAUUGACACUGAGGCUCGAAAGCGUGGGGAGCAAACAGGAUUAGA
rnacentral:rRNA from 1 species